rnacentral:ncRNA from 1 species
AAAUUAAAAUAAUACUAGGGUACUAGAUUAGUUUAAUAGGGAAAGUGAUGAAAAUUCACUACAGCCCCCGCUACUGUAUACGGAUACGAAAUCAAAAUCCACUGAAAUUUAUAAAAAUUUUGGGAAGGGUGAUGGAGGAAAAGCCGUGAGUCAGGAGACCUGCCCAGUAUUAUAUAAGUUCA